rnacentral:rRNA from 4 species
GUCACGCAUCAGACCUC